AAGUAUUCUUCGGUGCAGCCAGCGCUUCCACAGCGCGGCAGCCCAAACCUUACACACUGUGAUUAGUUUUUGUUACUAUUUACUUUGGCUGCGGCAAGUGGCCAAAGGUCUUAAACACAAAGAUUUAUAUCUUUUUUUACAAAAUUUAGUCAAUGAAGUUUUAAUACUAUAAUCUUC
rnacentral:misc_RNA from 1 species